rnacentral:rRNA from 1 species
AGUGAACGCUAGCGGUAGGCCUAACACAUGCAAGUCGAACGGCAGCACAGUAAGAGCUUGCUCUUACGGGUGGCGAGUGGCGGACGGGUGAGGAAUACAUCGGAAUCUACUUUUUCGUGGGGGAUAACGUAGGGAAACUUACGCUAAUACCGCAUACGACCUACGGGUGAAAGCAGGGGAUCUUCGGACCUUGCGCGAUUGAAUGAGCCGAUGUCGGAUUAGCUAGUUGGCGGGGUAAAGGCCCACCAAGGCGACGAUCCGUAGCUGGUCUGAGAGGAUGAUAGGCCACACUGGAACUGAGACACGGUCCAGACUCCUACGGGAGGCAGCAGUGGGGAAUAUUGGACAAUGGGCGCAAGCCUGAUCCAGCCAUACCGCGUGGGUGAAGAAGGCCUUCGGGUUGUAAAGCCCUUUUGUUGGGAAAGAAAAGCAGCAGGUUAAUACCCCGCUGUUCUGACGGUACCCAAAGAAUAAGCACCGGCUAACUUCGUG